rnacentral:rRNA from 1 species
GACGAACGCUGGCGGCAUGCCUAACAACAUGCAAGUCUAGGGGUAGCAAUACCACUGGCGCACGGGUCGAGUAACACGUAGGUUAUCUGCCCCAUCACAGACAUAACCCCGGGAAACCGGGGCUAAUAUCUGAUGAGGUCGCGAGAUCAAAGCUUCGGCGGAUGGGGAUGAGCCUGCGGCUGGUUAGCUAGUUGGUGAGGUAAUGGCUCACCAAGGCGACGAUCAGUAGCUGGUCUGGAGAGGACGAACAGCCACACUGGAACUGAGACACGGUCCAGACUCCUACGGGAGCAGCAGUGAGGAAUAUUGGUCAAUGGGAGCAAUCCUGAACCAGCAAUGCCGCGUGUGGGAUGACAGGGCUUC